GCCUGGGUGGCUCAGUCGGUUGAGCGUCCGACUUCGGCUCAGGUCACGAUCUCACGGUAUGUGAGUUCGAGCCCCACGUCGGGCU
rnacentral:tRNA from 1 species